rnacentral:rRNA from 1 species
GCUUCUUGAUUCAGAUUUUGGUGAGUGGCGGACGGGUGAGUAACACGUGGGUAACCUGCCCAAAAGUGGGGGAUAACAUUUGGAAACAAGUGCUAAUACCGCAUAACAACUGCUUUCACAUGAUCGCAGCUUGAAAGAUGGCUCUGCUAUCGCUUUUGGAUGGACCCGCGGCGUAUUAGCUAGUUGGUGAGGUAAUAGCUCACCAAGGCAAUGAUACGUAGCCGACCUGAGAGGGUAAUCGGCCACAUUGGGACUGAGACACGGCCCAAACUCCUACGGGAGGCAGCAGUAGGGAAUCUUCCACAAUGGGCGAAAGCCUGAUGGAGCAAUGCCGCGUGAGUGAAGAAGGUUUUCGGAUCGUAAAACUCUGUUGUUGAAGAAGAACAUGCGUGAGAGUAACUGUUCACGUACUGACGGUAUUCAA